rnacentral:misc_RNA from 1 species
AAGUCUUCUAAGUCGUGGGCACCUGGAACAGAACAGAGGAAGAAAAGAGGCUUAGAUUUCAAAUGGAAAUGAAGCAUACAAAAUUAAUACAGAUAUAAGGAAGGAUAAUCAGUUUCCCCAGCUAAACUGUUGCUUAUGCCUUAAGAGGGAAGGGCACAAAAAGAAAUGGUGAAACAUUAGAAAGACCUCCUCAUGGUAUGCAGUUAUGCACUGUCAUAUGGAACACUACACAUAUAUUGGUUCAGCAAGAAAAAUAGAUAUUUUUACAAGUUAAAAUUAUCAUUAGUCAAAAUAAAUAAGCUACAAGUUAAACAAAAGUUGAAAAAAAACAGCAGUGAGUAUUUUGUGUUAAUUGCAAAAGGAAGGCAAUGCUUCCAUCACAAUUUUGUUACAAUAGAUGAUGGCUAGUGAUACACUGUGAAGCACGGAAACUCCAAUCACUAGCAUAGUUAUUAAAGGCGCGUUCAAGCACGCUUAAGGCUCAAGAUUCACCAGGCUCGAACCCUAGAGCCUUAUGCGCCUUGGUUUCAGGCACAAGAUUCUAGAAAGGCA